CUGGCGGCGUGCCUAACACAUGCAAGUCGAACGAGAAAGUGGAGCAAUCCAUGAGUAAAGUGGCGACCGGGUGAGUAACACGUGACUACCUGCCCUUGAGUGGGGGAUAACUUCGGGAAACCGAGGCUAAUACCGCAUAACAUCGCAAGAUCAAAGGAGCAAUUCGCUGAAGGAGGGGGUCGCGGCUGAUUAGCUAGUUGGUGAGGUAACGGCUCACCAAGGCGAAGAUCAGUAGCCGGCCUGAGAGGGCGCACGGCCACACUGGAACUGAAACACGGUCCAGACUCCUACGGGAGGCAGCAGUGGGGAAUUUUGCGCAAUGGGGGAAACCCUGACGCAGCAACGCCGCGUGGAGGAUGAAGUCCCUUGGGAUGUAAACUCCUUUCGAUCGGGACGAUUAUGACGGUACCGGAAGAAGAAGCACCGGCUAACUCUGUGCCAGCAGCCGCGGUAAUACAGAGGGUGCAAGCGUUGUUCGGAAUUAUUGGGCGUAAAGGGCGCGUANGCGGUGCGGUAAGUCUGUGGUGAAAUCUCCGAGCUCAACUCGGAAAU
rnacentral:rRNA from 1 species